GGUUCCAUAGUGUAGUGGUUAGCACGUCUGCUUUACACGCAGAAGGUCUUAGGUUCAUGCCUCAGUGGAGCCA
rnacentral:tRNA from 1 species